UACUAAAGAAUGAAAAAUACAGAGAAGAA
rnacentral:piRNA from 1 species